rnacentral:lncRNA from 1 species
AUGGGAGCGGAAGGGUGGAGGACCACGGAGGUGAGACACGAGAGUGGCAGGGCAUCUGGAGGGGCGCGAAGGCUGGGGAGGGUGGUGGGCGAUGGGGCGGGGCGGCGCCGGUCCCCGCGUCCCCUGCCGCGGGGUCCGCCCAUCAGCCGGUGCACGGGUCCCCUUCGGCCAGGGCGCGCCCCCACCCCUCCCCCCCACGGCGCACCUGUACCCACCUGCUCGGCGCUCGGGCCCGAGCCGGGCAGCAGCUGCGAACGUCGCGAGCGCAGCCCCGCGCCGCAUCCUCCGGCCGCCCCCUCCCCGCCCCGAGCUUACGCUGCCACCGCCCCCGCCUUAAAAAGGACAAAACGGAAAAGAAAAAGGUUGCGUGCAAAAAAAAAAAAAAAAAAAAAAAAGAAAAAGAAAAAGAAAAAUCGUAAGAAGCCAACGAGGAAGAUGGGCAGAUGCGCGCGGCUCGUUGGGGCGGGGGUCGAGGUGCGGCGGCACCGGGGACCGCGCUCGGGGCAGCGGGCAGGCGCGUGCCGCACGCUCCCGGCUGCAGCUCCUGCGAUCGCCCGGCGCCCGGCUCCCGGCGCGGCCCCGCCCCUUCCCCGGGCCGCCCCUCCGAUUGGCCCGUGCUCCUGCCAGUCAGGGGGAAGGCGCUGCGCUCGCCCCGCCCCCGCCCGGGGCCGAGGCCGGGAGCGGUUCGGCGGCCGCCAGAGGAGGUGCGGGGAGGCCCGAGCGUGCGCACUUGGCCCCGCGGCCCGCGCGGGGGAAGGCUGGGGUCUGCGGCUGAGCGCCCCGGGUCGCGCGGGGUCGCGGCGCCCGCUGGGUCGGAGCUGCCCUGGGGAUUACUUGCGGGCUCCGGUAAGGGCUGAAGGCCCCGGAGGCUCAUCCUCGCCUUCACCUGGGACUGAGGCCAUCCUGGGCCAUCGGUGGGCGGGGAGACACCACUGCCCACCGUCCCGGAUUUCCCCCUUUGUGCCGAUGGAGAUCUCAGGGUCACAGGUGAAAGGCAAUAUUGUAAGUGACACAGCUAGCAAGUGGCAGAGCCAGGAGUCUUUAGGCCUGAGCCCAUAG